UGUUAGUAGAGUACGUCGAGAUUGAUUUAUUUUAAAUUAAAUCACUGUCCGCCAUAUUUGUAACAGACAACUUUUCUUCUUUUACUACUUACGGUGGAACGGUAGGAGAACUUUAUACGGGCUGUUUCCUAUAUAAAUUAUGCGUUUUCAGAUUUACGAUGAGUUUUUUGUUUUAAAUUGAUUAGAGGUGUAGUUAAGAAACCACCAUGUAGAUCUAUUUCUGAUGCAGAAUGUUAAAGCAUAUAUAUAUAUUCGAGUGCACGGACGAACGAUCUUCUCUCAUGGACUUUCUUUCUCUUCUCUUCGUUCUGGUUAACGGCCUCGAUCUUCAGUUAUUCGCGUGUUAGAAUAGAUCUUCCCUAUGAUAUAUAUUGAAACUUUAGUAAUAUAUUUUUCACGCACAUGUACACACACACACACACACACACGUGCGCAUUUCCUUAAUUUUUGUUACAUUAUACAAAUCAUCGAUGGAUCAUCAAUCACCCUAUUACUUUUUCCUAUUACUCAAAUGUUGAUAACUUUAACAUGAAUAUAUAUUUCAACAUCGUGAAAUAGAUAUAUUUCUAAGCUUUUAAAGAAGAUAGAUUUAGAAAAUCUAACGUCAAAUUUAACGAUGCAAAACCGACAACGAGUAUCGUUCUAAACGUUCGGUCAUGCGUUGCAAUAUUUUACACUUUACCAGAAGAAGAAGAAGAAGAAAAAUAAGAACAAGAAAUGGGGGAGAAAGAGGAAGAAGAAGAUGCUGCUGCCGUUGAUGAUGAUGCCAACUUUGAGGAAAAAAAAAAAAGAAAAAUUGAUAGAAGGCGCCAAACACGGAUGCAUCCGUGCAUUUGCUCGAUCGAGUCUUCUAAACGACGUUAUCAAGAUGGCCUUGAUUUAAUUGGACGCUUUCGUAUGUUUGAAUUUCAAAUGUUACAUGAAGUGGAAAUUUGGAAUUAAAAUGGCUACUACUCUGGUAUAUCUAGUGUUAAAAAGGUUGAAUGCAGCAACAGUCUCUGGUUUAGGAACGUGCAGUCGAUGCACUUGGCUGGAGCUACUCUAAUAAUAGUACGAGAGGACGAAACUUUCGUCGUGUUAGUUUCUAGCAAUGCAUGAAACCUUUUCUAAAUGAUAUUUAAAAGAAAACAACAAUAACAAUAACACAUCUAUGAUAACAACUUUUUACAUCAAUUUGUAAAAUAUCUUUCAAUGUAUUGGUAUAGGCAAGAAAGUAAUUUCGGUUUCCUAGUGUGAAAUAAAACUCAGUUGUUUAUUUUUACAUUUAUUUAAAAUUACACGAGGAAUUUGUUUCUAUAGAAACUUAAAAGUGUCAACUACCAAAUCUCAAAAGACAAAAAUUCUAACAUUAAUAUAUUCGCGGCUGGAAUAUUUUUUCCGAUUCUUAUACUAAG